GAUGAACGCUGGCGGCGUGCCUAACACAUGCAAGUCGAACGAAGCACUUUUUUACGAUCCCUUCGGGGUGACGAAUUUGUGACUGAGUGGCGGACGGGUGAGUAACGCGUGGGAAACCUGCCUUGUACCGGGGGAUAGCAGUUGGAAACGACUGAUAAUACCGCAUAAGCGCACAGUAUCACAUGAUACAGUGUGAAAAACUCCGGUGGUACAAGAUGGUCCCGCGUCUGAUUAGCUUGUUGGCGGGGUAAUGGCCCACCAAGGCGACGAUCAGUAGCCGACCUGAGAGGGUGACCGGCCACAUUGGGACUGAGACACGGCCCAAACUCCUACGGGAGGCAGCAGUGGGGAAUAUUGCACAAUGGGGGAAACCCUGAUGCAGCGACGCCGCGUGAGUGAUGAAGUAUCUCGGUAUGUAAAGCUCUAUCAGCAGGGAAGAUAAUGACGGUACCUGACUAAGAAGCACCGGCUAAAUACGUGCCAGCAGCCGACGG
rnacentral:rRNA from 1 species